rnacentral:rRNA from 1 species
AUUGAACGCUGGCGGCAUGCUUUACACAUGCAAGUCGAACGGCAGCGCGGGGCAACCUGGCGGCGAGUGGCGAACGGGUGAGUAAUAUAUCGGAACGUACCCAAGAGUGGGGGAUAACGUAGCGAAAGUUACGCUAAUACCGCAUACGAUCUAAGGAUGAAAGCAGGGGACCGCAGGGCCUUGUGCUCCUGGAGCGGCCGAUAUCUGAUUAGCUAGUUGGUGAGGAAAGGCUCACCAAGGCGACGAUCAGUAGCUGGUCUGAGAGGACGACCAGCCACACUGGGACUGAGACACGGCCCAGACUCCUACGGGAGGCAGCAGUGGGGAAUUUUGGACAAUGGGCGAAAGCCUGAUCCAGCAAUGCCGCGUGAGUGAAGAAGG